CGAGCGAGUCUUUACUCCGAAGCGCUCGUUUAGAACAAACUGCAAGGCUACAUUCUAAAAUUCUACUUGGCGGAUAGAGUAACAUUAAUUACCAAACAUGAUAAAGAAAUCUUAGUUCUUUUUUAUUCUGAUUAGUCAAUUAAAUGCUACUCCAUCCGUCGAGUAAAGUUUUGGAACGCAACCCAGGAAGGCCUUCCCAAGAAAGAAGAACCGGUCUUGUUCGGCUAAUGUUCACAUUGUCCAGAUGAGCCCGUAUCCGCUGUCUGAGGAGUAAAUGCUUCGAUCCAGCAGGACGACAUCCAUUUGCUUUGACGAGGAUCCAGUACUAAGUUAAUAAGGAUUGUUACGAUAAUGCAAUACGACACUUUCACUCGGGCUUCCUCGUUCUCAUAAGCAAGGCCCGAGGCUUCGAAUCUACCCUCACGUAUGAUCGUCGAGGAGAGCCAGCAAUUUGGCAAUCGCGCUAUAUCGUAAAACAAACCGUACUCUCCUCGUACUUUGUACGUAUGUAUUUAUACGUACAUAGUCAAGAGCCUUAAAAAUAUACGCCAUCACCUUCGGCUAUCUGCAGCUCUGCGUUGCUGAAUGUAGAUUAUAGCCUUGACUAGAUUCUUCUUCGGUUGUGCGCGCAUUAAAUAUUGUGUCGCCGUUAACCGGAGCAGAUCUCGGAGUGUUCAUCCCACGAGGCCACCUAUCAAUUAUCUUCCUCUACAUCAUCCUGCAAGCCUCAAAGAAACGGUCAGAGAAUCUGAAUAUACGCGACAACAAUAUGGAUAUCUAUCGGAACGACGAUCUUACAACAUUAAUUACGUUGUUGGAGUGGGACUGCGCAGGUGUAUUGACAACGGGAGUUAUAGUUAUCUCCGUGCGAGCCUAAAAAGAGAGAAAUAUCCCGUGUUAGAUAUAUUUUACACUACUCAGAGAAAAUAAUGGAGUCUUGAAUCACGACGCACAUUGAUAUAAAUCGUAAAUAGAAAAUAAUAUACCGUGGAGGAAGACAGCAGCUCGCUUAUAGAACCCAGACUAGAUCCUUGGUAUGCCUGUAAAAGGUGUUGGGCGCCAGUCGCUUGCUGUGCCAUAGGUACUAUCGGUGUUGCCGCAGCUGUCGCUGCUGGAGAGUUCCUUUCUCUUUCAGGUGCGGUGAGCAAUUUAGCCAAAGUAAGCGGAAAGUUGUUUGGCCUGGAUGAUGUAUUGUUGGUCAGUAUUCCAUGGAGAAGCGAGCGUGAAGGCGUAUUAGUGUUCUCAGGCACGGAAGAUGUGUUAUGUCCUGACGGCACAGGUUGAAGUGUCACAUCCGGAUAAUUUUGCGAUGCUCUGGCUGGUUCACCUAAACACGAGAUUGCUUGUGAUACCGUGUUCUUAUGCGUGUAUGAAUUUAUGUCAAAUUCCCUCCGGUGAAUUUUAUGAUAAAUUAUAUAAAUUCCAUAAGAUUGUUACCUUGAUGUUGAGACAGCCUGUUGAGUUGGAAUACCAUGUCCCUAAAGUUCACGGGGUUUUGGCACUCUGUCGCAUUCGGACUCUUGCAGGAGUCUGCACUCGACGGUCUGGAAUCAGCAUUGUGUCCCAUCUCGACCAUGGCACCACCAGCGGUCAGAUUAACGUUCACCGAAUUCCUCGUUCUUCGCCCCCUACAUUAAUAUAAAAAUUUAUUAUUUUAAAAUAAAUUUUAAUUAUUAUAACUAUAAUUAUUUAUAAUACCAUGGGAUCGUUGGAUAUUUUUUUUAUCUAAUAACAAUUUGUAAAUUUUUUUUCGAGAAUCUCCAAAAUAUCAUUUAUCGUUUAGGCGAGAUUCGCCAUUACCUCUAAAUCAAUAGCAUUAUCAGCACAUAUACUCACUCAAACUUUACUGUUCGAUUUACAUAGACAUAUCUUGCCGAUUGCAGAUACGAGUGCAAUAACAGAUGGUUUAUUAUAUUAAUAGAUAAGAAAUUUACCGAUUAAUUGAUAAACGUACCUUUUCGGCGCCGGAUCGGGGAACAUCUUCCUAUGAUUGGCGAUGAUGGAAGUCACUUCUACUCUCGCACCUUGACGACCUUCGCCGAUCUGCCGGGACUCUGGACUCGACAUCUCAUUCUGCUUGCGGCUGUUCUCCCCGCCGUUUUUCGAAGAAGUCGUCUGCCGCUGCGAGGCAACAUUCGCAACGUUUUGUUUUUUAGGGAGCGACGCGUUUAGGGAGCUUUCUUCGGAAAGAUCACUUUUGAAUUCGAGAGACUUUUCUCUCGACGCGGUCUCGCUCGGUGCUUCGUCGCUGUUCAUCCAUCUCGCCUCCAAGCUGGUGGACGGCACGUGCUCCGGUGUAGUCUCGCUAUUCGUGAGUCUCAUCAUUUGCCUUCUUCUUUGGAGCCUCACGUACGCUUCCUCCGUCAGUUUUCGCUGGUGCAGGAUCUGAUUCCAUUCCUUCUCUUUUUUCCGUGCCAUUUCCUCGAGUUCCUGUCAACACACAUGGUAGGUUAAGGAUCGAUUAGCCAAGAUCAAAAGUAAGCAAGAUUUCGAGGAGAAAAUACUAACCUGCAUCUGCUUAAACAACUCAUUUUCUUUUUUUUCCAAAGCGUCAGCCGUAGUCUCAUCGCCGACAAGAGACUUGAUGGAACUUUCCCGUUCUUCCUGUGCACAGCAGGUUUUUUUCGGUUUAGAAGGACCAUUCGUAGGGUCCUGCUGCCCGUUCGGGGACUUUCGCUUCUUGCCGACGAUUUCGGCUGACUUUGAUCUGACAAGACGCGAACCGGCCUUCUGCUCCGAGGUACUCGCUAUCGGCGUGCUUGUAAUCGGAAGGCUCUUCUUAUUGGUCCUAAUGUUCUCAUGUACGUCCUUCUCAAUUUUUACACGUCCGUAAUCCAAUGCCGAUGGCGACGUAGCGGUCUCCUCGGGCAGAGCGGCACCAUUCUGUUGGCUUUGGGGUACCUUCGGCGACGUACUUGGCGCGUUCUCCGCCGCGUCCACAUUCUUCCCGUUUCCGCUGGCACCCUCCAUCGCGUGCAUCUUGUUCAGGCUGCAACACAAGUAAAGGAACGACUUGAUGUAUACUGUGGUAACACGAAAUCAACGCGCGUAACAAGCGUUCUUCUACGAAUGAACAACUGCGAUUAUAUUGAAACUUUGUUAAAUUAAACAUGACAACAAUUUGUAUAGAUGUGUGUGUGUAAAUAUUUAUACAAUACAUUGUGCGUAAAGCGUGA